rnacentral:rRNA from 1 species
GAUGAACGCUGGCGGCGUGCUUAACACAUGCAAGUCGAACGAAGCACUUUAUUUGAUUUCCUUCGGGACUGAUUAUUUUGUGACUGAGUGGCGGACGGGUGAGUAACGCGUGGGUAACCUGCCUUGUACAGGGGGAUAACAGUUGGAAACGGCUGCUAAUACCGCAUAAGCGCACAGCAUCGCAUGAUGCAGUGUGAAAAACUCCGGUGGUAUAAGAUGGACCCGCGUUGGAUUAGCUAGUUGGUGAGGUAACGGCCCACCAAGGCGACGAUCCAUAGCCGACCUGAGAGGGUGCCCAGCCGCAUUGGGACUGAGACACGGCCCAAACUCCUACGGGAGGCAGCAGUGGGGAAUAUUGCACAAUGGGCGAAAGCCUGAUGCAGCGACGCCGCGUGAGCGAAGAAGUAUUUCGGUAUGGAAAGCUCUAUCAGCAGGGAAGAUAAUGACGGUACCUGACUAAGAAGCACCGGCUAAAUACGUG